rnacentral:rRNA from 1 species
CCGGAAUUAUUGGGUUUAAAGGGUGCGCAGGCGGGCUAAUCAGUCAGGGGUGAAAUUCCACGGCUCAACUGUGGGUGUGCCUUUGAUACUGUUAGUCUUGAAUUUAGUUGAAGUGGGCGGAAUGUAGCAUGUAGCGGUGAAAUGCAUAGAUAUGCUACAGAACACCGAUAGCGAAGGCAGCUCACUAAGUUAAUAUUGACGCUCAUGCACGAAAGCGUGGGGAUCAAACAGGAUUAGAUACCCUGGUAGUCCACGCUGUAAACGAUGAUCACUCGUUGCUGGCGAUAUACCGUUCAGUGGCUAAGCGAAAGUGAUAAGUGAUCCACCUGGGGAGUACGAUCGCAAGGUUGAAACUCAAAGGAAUUGACGGGGGCCCGCACAAGCGGUGGAGCAUGUGGUUUAAUUCGAUGAUACGCGAGGAACCUUACC